rnacentral:rRNA from 1 species
CUCUUCCCUGCCAGGUUCGAGAUUCUACGGGAGGCAGCAGUGGGGAAUUUUCCGCAAUGGGCGAAAGCCUGACGGAGCAAUACCGCGUGAGGGAUGACGGCCUAUGGGUUGUAAACCUCUUUUCUCAGGGAGGAAUUCAAUGACGUUACCUGAGGAAUAAGCAUCGGCUAACUCCGUGCCAGCAGCCGCGGUAAGACGGAGGAUGCAAGUGUUAUCCGGAAUCACUGGGCGUAAAGCGUCUGUAGGUGGCUUAACAAGUCAACUGUUAAAUCUUGAAGCUCAACUUCGAAAUCGCAGUCGAAACUGUUAGGCUAGAGUAUAGUAGGGGUAAAGGGAAUUUCCAGUGGAGCGGUGAAAUGCGUAGAGAUUGGAAAGAACACCGAUGGCGAAGGCACUUUACUGGGCUAUUACUGACACUCAGAGACGAAAGCUAGGGUAGCAAAUGGGAUUAGAUACCCCAGUAGUCCUAGCCGUAAACAAUGGAUACUAGAUGUUGGGCAGAUCGACCUGUUCAGUAUUAAAGCUAACGCGUUAAGUAUCCCGCCUGGGAAGUAUGCGCGCAAGCGUGAAACUCAAAUGAAUUGACGG